rnacentral:tRNA from 1 species
GCUUUCGAUGGGCGGGGGCCAGUCACUCAACUUCGGGUUGGGGAACCUGGACACGUUCGCAUGGGUCGGCGGUUUCGCGUCCGCCCCGAACACG